CACCAGGCCUGGGGUUCUUCUGAACUCCUCCUGUCCCACAAAAUACACCUGCCAAGGCCUGAAUUUGAUGCGGCACAGCUGGGAGUCUCAGCAGGUUUCCUGGUAGUCACGGUGAUGCUGAUUCUGGAGAAUGUGGCCCAUCUCCGAGAGCUGAUAGGUCACGUGGACACCGCUAGCCCUCCCCACUUCCAAGAUGAAGCUGAGGCCGUGCUGACUUGCUGCCUGGACUCUUUGCUUCUCCUGUUGUUAGGAACAGCUCCUCACAUUUCCUCAAGUUGGCAUGGGAAGCCCUGGGUGUGUUUUGCCAUGAUCCAGGUUUUUAAAAAAUUACAAGAGUCCUACAGGCUUGUAAGAAAUUCAAACCAGACAGGAG